ensembl:ncRNA Y49E10.33 ncRNA
GUAGGCUUAGGCUUAGGCUUCGGCUUAGGCUUAGGCUUAAGCUAAGCCUUAGGC